UACGUAGGGAGCAAGCGUUGUCCGGAAUCAUUGGGCGUAAAGCGCGCGUAGGUGGCUUCGUAAGUCCGUUGUGAAAGUCAAAGGCUCAACCUUUGAAAGCCGAUGGAUACUGCGGAGCUAGAGUACGGAAGAGGCGAGUGGAAUUCCUGGUGUAGCGGUGGAAUGCGCAGAUAUCAGGAGGAACACCAAUAGCGAAGGCAGCUCGCUGGGACGUGACUGACGCUGAGACGCGAAAGCGUGGGGAGCGAACAGG
rnacentral:rRNA from 1 species